GUUAGGCAACUUAUUAUAUUUCUACUAUCAUUUAAAGAAUAGUUAUCUUUGUAGUUUAUAUGUUUCUACUUUUUCUUAAGUUUAUGAAUCUUAUAAUUACAGAUGACUUGCAAUGCUGGAUCACUUUCCCACAUCAUAUAUGUGAUAUUGAGGGCUGCAUUUGAUGUACUCCCAGAAUAGAAAAGUGUACCCUUCAAAUUGCAUGUAAUUAGAAUCAAUAAAAUACUGAAAUUAUUACCUUCAG
rnacentral:lncRNA from 1 species